rnacentral:rRNA from 1 species
AACAGAUGAUGCCUAUCAACUGUUUAAAGAUGUUCUGCUAUCACUCUUGGGAUGGACCUGCGGUGCAUUAGCUAGUUGGUAGGGGUAACGGGCCUACCAAGGCGAUGAUGCAUAGCCCGAGUUGAGAGACUGAUCGGGCCACAUUGGGACCGAGACACGGGCCCAAACUCCUACGGGAGGCAGCAGUAGGGAAUCUUCCACAAUGGACGCAAGUCUGAUGGAGCAAACGCCGCGUGAGUGAAGAAGGGUUUCGGCUCGUAAAAAGCUCUGUUGUUGGUGAAGAAGGACAGGGGUAGUAACUGACCCUUUGUUUGACGGUAAUCAAUUAGAAAGUCACGGGCUAACUACGUGCCAGCAGCCGCGGUAAAU